rnacentral:tRNA from 2 species
AAGUGAGAAGCAAAUAUUGCAAUCAGUUUCGACCUGAUCCUUGAUACUAACUAUAUCCUUACUUC